AAGUCGGCGCUAUCCUCGCGGUCGUGAAUGGUGAACUCCGCAUUCAGUCCGAUCUGUUCGGCAUAGAUUCUCAGCA
rnacentral:sRNA from 1 species